rnacentral:tRNA from 1 species
UUUGAGAUAGUUUAAUCGGUAAAACGGUGGAAUCAUAGUCCAUAGUUGCAGGUUCGAGUCCUGUUCUCAGUAAU